rnacentral:lncRNA from 1 species
AAUAUUUUACAUAUUAAAGAGAUUAAAAUUAUAUAUUUUACAUAUUACAGAGAACAAUUGUAAUAUGAAUCAAUUUUGCAAUAGCUAAAAAAAUAAAAUAAAAAAUAAUUUACAAAUAUUUGCAAUAAUCAAAAUUAAAUAAAUUAUUUUGAUAUGGACUAUAUAAAAAAAUAAUAAUAUACACUAUUAUAAAAUAUAUAUUUUCUAGCCCACUUUCACCUUGGUUAUCAUGUCCAACAUAAUAAAGUAUAUUUAUUUAAG